rnacentral:rRNA from 1 species
GAUGAACGCUAGCGAUAGGCCUAACACAUGCAAGUCGAGGGGCAUCACAUGAAGUAGCAAUACGGAUGGUGGCGACCGGCGCACGGGUGAGUAACACGUAUGCAACCUGCCUCAUAGAGAGGAAUAGCCUCCCGAAAGGGAGAUUAAUACCUCAUAACAUUGCAGUUUCGCAUGGAACAGCAAUUAAAGGAGUAAUCCGCUAUGAGAUGGGCCCGCGGCGCAUUAGCUAGUUGGUGAGGUAACGGCCCACCAAGGCGACGAUGCGUAGCUGAGCUGAGAGGCUAAACAGCCACACUGGGACUGAGACACGGCCCAGACUCCUACGGGAGGCAGCAGUAGGGAAUUUUCGGCAAUGGGGGAAACCCUGACCGAGCAAUGCCGCGUGAACGAUGAAGGUCUUCGGAUUGUAAAGUUC